rnacentral:tRNA from 1 species
UGGUAUGGCUCAGUCGGUAGAGCAGCUGAUUCGUAAUCAGCAGGUCACCAGUUCGAAUCUGGUUACC